rnacentral:rRNA from 1 species
CCUACGGGAGGCAGCAGUGGGGGAUAUUGCACAAUGGGGGGAACCCUGAUGCAGCAACGCCGCGUGAGUGAAGAAGGGUUUCGGCUCGUAAAGCUCUGUUGGUAGUGAAGAAAGAUAGAGGUAGUAACUGGCCUUUAUUUGACGGUAAUUACUUAGAAAGUCACGGCUAACUACGUGCCAGCAGCCGCGGUAAUACGUAGGUGGCAAGCGUUGUCCGGAUUUAUUGGGCGUAAAGCGAGUGCAGGCGGUACAAUAAGUCUGAUGUGAAAGCCUUCGGCUCAACCGGAGAAUUGCAUCAGAAACUGUUGAACUUGAGUGCAGAAGAGGAGAGUGGAACUCCAUGUGUAGCGGUGGAAUGCGUAGAUAUAUGGAAGAACACCAGUGGCGAAGGCGGCUCUCUGGUCUGCAACUGAUGCUGAGGCUCGAAAGCAUGGGGAGCGAACAGGAUUAGAUACCCCGGUAGUC